UUUAUGGAGAGUUUGAUCCUGGCUCAGGAUGAACGCUGGCGGCGUGCCUAAUACAUGCAAGUCGAGCGAACGGACGAGAAGCUUGCUUCUCUGAUGUUAGCGGCGGACGGGUGAGUAACACGUGGAUAACCUACCUAUAAGACUGGGGUAACUUCGGGAAACCGUAGCUAAUACCGGAUAAUAUUUUGAACCGCAUGGUUCAAAAGUGAAAGACGGUCUUGCUGUCACUUAUAGAUGGAUCCGCGCUGCAUUAGCUAGUUGGUAAGGUAACGGCUUACCAAGGCAACGAUGCAUAGCCGACCUGAGAGGGUGAUCGGCCACACUGGAACUGAGACACGGUCCAGACUCCUACGGGAGGCAGCAGUAGGGAAUCUUCCGCAAUGGGCGAAAGCCUGACGGAGCAACGCCGCGUGAGUGAUGAAGGUCUUCGGAUCGUAAAACUCUGUUAUUAGGGAAGAACAUAUGUGUAAGUAACUGUGCACAUCUUGACGGUACCUAAUCAGAAAGCCACGGCUAACUACGUGCCAGCAGCCGCGGUAAUACGUAGGUGGCAAGCGUUAUCCGGAAUUAUUGGGCGUAAAGCGCGCGUAGGCGGUUUUUUAAGUCUGAUGUGAAAGCCCACGGCUCAACCGUGGAGGGUCAUUGGAAACUGGAAAACUUGAGUGCAGAAGAGGAAAGUGGAAUUCCAUGUGUAGCGGUGAAAUGCGCAGAGAUAUGGAGGAACACCAGUGGCGAAGGCGACUUUCUGGUCUGUAACUGACGCUGAUGUGCGAAAGCGUGGGGAUCAAACAGGAUUAGAUACCCUGGUAGUCCACGCCGUAAACGAUGAGUGCUAAGUGUUAGGGGGUUUCCGCCCCUUAGUGCUGCAGCUAACGCAUUAAGCACUCCGCCUGGGGAGUACGACCGCAAGGUUGAAACUCAAAGGAAUUGACGGGGACCCGCACAAGCGGUGGAGCAUGUGGUUUAAUUCGAAGCAACGCGAAGAACCUUACCAAAUCUUGACAUCCUUUGACAACUCUAGAGAUAGAGCCUUCCCCUUCGGGGGACAAAGUGACAGGUGGUGCAUGGUUGUCGUCAGCUCGUGUCGUGAGAUGUUGGGUUAAGUCCCGCAACGAGCGCAACCCUUAAGCUUAGUUGCCAUCAUUAAGUUGGGCACUCUAAGUUGACUGCCGGUGACAAACCGGAGGAAGGUGGGGAUGACGUCAAAUCAUCAUGCCCCUUAUGAUUUGGGCUACACACGUGCUACAAUGGACAAUACAAAGGGCAGCGAAACCGCGAGGUCAAGCAAAUCCCAUAAAGUUGUUCUCAGUUCGGAUUGUAGUCUGCAACUCGACUACAUGAAGCUGGAAUCGCUAGUAAUCGUAGAUCAGCAUGCUACGGUGAAUACGUUCCCGGGUCUUGUACACACCGCCCGUCACACCACGAGAGUUUGUAACACCCGAAGCCGGUGGAGUAACCUUUUAGGAGCUAGCCGUCGAAGGUGGGACAAAUGAUUGGGGUGAAGUCGUAACAAGGUAGCCGUAUCGGAAGGUGCGGCUGGAUCACCUCCUUUCU
rnacentral:rRNA from 1 species